rnacentral:rRNA from 1 species
CGGACGGGUGAGUAACGCGUGAGAAUCUGCCUUUAGAUGGGGGAUAACGGGUCGAAAGACUCGCUAAUACCGCAUAUGACGAGAGUUGAAAGGAGUAAUCCGUCUAAAGAUGAGCCCGCGUCCGAUUAGCUAGUUGGUAGAGUAAAAGCCUACCAAGGCGACGAUCGGUAGCUGGUCUGAGAGGAUGAUCAGCCACAAUGGGACUGAGACACGGCCCAUACUCCUACGGGAGGCAGCAGUGGGGAAUUUUACGCAAUGGGCGAAAGCCUGACGUAGCGACACCGCGUGAGCGAAGAAGCCCCUUGGGGUGUAAAGCUCUGUCAGCUGGAACGAAAAAAAUGACGGUACCAGCAGAGGAAGCAUCGGCUAACUCCGUGCCAGCAGCCGCGGUAAGACGUAGGAUGCAAGCGUUGUCCGGAUUUAUUGGGCGUAAAGAGUUCGUAGGUGGUUUGUUAAGUUUGGUGUUAAAGAUUGGGGCUCAACCCUGAAACUGCACUGAAUACUGGCAGACUCGAGUGUGGUAGAGGCUAGUGGAAUUCCCAGUGUAGCGGUGAAAUGCGUAGAUAUUGGGAAGAACACCGGUGGCGUAGGCGACUAGCUGGGCCAUAACUGACACUGAGGAACGAAAGCCAGGGGAGCGAAUGGGAUUAGAUACCCCAGUAGUC